UCUGGGACAAGCCCUGGAAACGGGGUCUAAUACCGGAUAACACUCUGUCCCGCAUGGGACGGGGUUGAAAGCUCCGGCGGUGAAGGAUGAGCCCGCGGCCUAUCAGCUUGUUGGUGGGGUGAUGGCCUACCAAGGCGACGACGGGUAGCCGGCCUGAGAGGGCGACCGGCCACACUGGGACUGAGACACGGCCCAGACUCCUACGGGAGGCAGCAGUGGGGAAUAUUGCACAAUGGGCGAAAGCCUGAUGCAGCGACGCCGCGUGAGGGAUGACGGCCUUCGGGUUGUAAACCUCUUUCAGCAGGGAAGAAGCGAGAGUGACGGUACCUGCAGAAGAAGCGCCGGCUAACUACGUGCCAGCAGCCGCGGUAAUACGUAGGGCGCAAGCGUUGUCCGGAAUUAUUGGGCGUAAAGAGCUCGUAGGCGGCUUGUUGCGUCGGUUGUGAAAGCCCGGGGCUUAACCCCGGGUCUGCAGUCGAUACGGGCAGGCUAGAGUGUGGUAGGGGAGAUCGGAAUUCCUGGUGUAGCGGUGAAAUGCGCAGAUAUCAGGAGGAACACCGGUGGCGAAGGCGGAUCUCUGGGCCAUUACUGACGCUGAGGAGCGAAAGCGUGGGGGAGCGAACAGGAUUAGAUACCCUGGUAGUCCACGCCGUAAACGUUGGGAACUAGGUGUUGGCGACAUUCCACGUCGUCGGUGCCGCAGCUAACGCAUUAAGUUCCCCGCCUGG
rnacentral:rRNA from 1 species